rnacentral:rRNA from 1 species
CGGACGGGUGAGUAAUGUCUAGGAAACUGCCUGAUGGAGGGGGAUAACUACUGGAAACGGUAGCUAAUACCGCAUAACGUCGCAAGACCAAAGAGGGGGACCUUCGGGCCUCUUGCCAUCAGAUGUGCCCAGAUGGGAUUAGCUUGUUGGUGGGGUAACGGCUCACCAAGGCGACGAUCCCUAGCUGGUCUGAGAGGAUGACCAGCCACACUGGAACUGAGACACGGUCCAG